GGUCUUUCAACUGAUCCUUUGCCACCUGUACAAAGCCCUGGGUCCCAGAGGCCUUGUGGGUUUGUGCAGGAGAAAGGGCUGCAUGGGUGGAUCCGUAGCACUGUGGUCAUUCCAAGGCCAAGUGGAAGUCCCAGAUGAGCUGCCCUGUUCCUGUCUGUCUGGGUUACACGUUAGACCUGUAGAAGAGCACGGAAAGCCAGAAGGGAGAAACAGCCUGUGUUCCUGAUCACCUAGUGAGAAAAUCCAGACCCUUCUGCUCCUGCAGGCUCCCUGGGAGGGUGGACUCUGACUGGCUCUGAGAGAGAAGCCCUGUCAGGGACAAGGUUACUGAGAAAUCUGCUCCACCCUCCCUAUCCUCCUGGAAGAAGAUCUGACCUCUGUCCCGGCUGCCCUAAUGAUCCCCAGAUCAGCACCCCACGUCCAGGAGAGGGGCAGCAGCUGAACGCCUCUCCAGGCUCUGAUGUCCUCAGAGCACAGAAACACCACAUGGACUGGAGCAGACCUGCAGCUAUGUGACUUGGUCGAA